AUAGCACAUUAUUAAAGCUUACAUCAGGCUGCUGGCUGGCUAAUGAACUCACAAGUAUAGCUAGUGUGCUACAUGAGGGGCAAGUCUUUCACCAACACCACAAGGGUCUCUGGUCCAAUGAGUAGGGGCUUGGUAAUGUCUUGCUACAAGA
ensembl:snoRNA SNORA62 Small nucleolar RNA SNORA62/SNORA6 family